CGGGGUGCAGCAGGCGCGAAAACUCCACAAUGUACGACAGUACGAUGGGGUUAUCUCGAGUGCAGUCCGAUAAGGGCUGCUUUUCCAUAGAGUAAUAUCCUGUGGGAAUAAGAGGGGGGCAAGACUGGUGUCAGCCGCCGCGGUAACACCAGCCCCUCGAGUGGUGGGGACUAUUAUUUGGUCUAAAGCGUCCGUAGCUGGCUGUAUCCGUCCCCCGUUAAAUCCAGCGUCCUAAGCGUUGGACUGCGGGUGAUACCAUACAGCUAGAGGGUGGGAUAGGUGAGCGGUAUUUCUGGGGUAGGGGCGAAAUCCUUUGAUCCCAGGAGGACCACCAGUGGCGAAGGCUGCUCACUAGAACACGCCUGACGGUCAGGGACGAAAGCUGGGGCAGCGAACCGGAUUAGAUACCCGGGUAGUCCCAGCUGUAAACGAUGCCAGCUAGGUGUUGGGUCGGCCACGCGCCGCCCCAGUGCCGCAGGGAAGCCGUUAAGCUGGCCACCUGGGGAGUACGGCCGCAAGGCUGAAACUUAAAGGAAUUGGCGGGGGAGCAC
rnacentral:rRNA from 1 species